rnacentral:rRNA from 1 species
GACAGAGGUGCCGAGCGUUAGGCGGAAUCACUGGGCUUAAAGCGUGUGUAGGCGGCGGCGUAAGUACCUUGUGAAAUCCCACGGCUCAACCGUGGAACUGCUCGGUAUACUGCGUCGCUUGAGCCAGCUAGGGGCGACCGGAACAAACGGUGGAGCGGUGAAAUGCGUAGAUAUCGUGAGGAACACCAGAGGCGAAGGCGGUUACCUGGACAGUUACUGACGCUCAGGCACGAAAGCGUGGGGAGCAAAAGGG